UACGUAGGGUGCGAGCGUUAAUCGGAAUUACUGGGCGUAAAGCGUGCGCAGGCGGUUUUGUAAGCCAGAUGUGAAAUCCCCGGGCUCAACCUGGGAACUGCAUUUGUGACUGCAUCGCUGGAGUGCGGCAGAGGGGGAUGGAAUUCCGCGUGUAGCAGUGAAAUGCGUAGCUAUGCGGAGGAACACCGAUGGCGAAGGCAAUCCCCUGGGCCUGCACUGACGCUCAUGCACGAAAGCGUGGGGAGCAAACAGG
rnacentral:rRNA from 1 species